GACGAACGCUGGCGGCGUGCUUAACACAUGCAAGUCGAACGGAAAGGCCCUGCUUUUGUGGGGUGCUCGAGUGGCGAACGGGUGAGUAACACGUGAGUAACCUGCCCUUGACUUUGGGAUAACUUCAGGAAACUGGGGCUAAUACCGGAUAGGAGCUCCUGCUGCAUGGUGGGGGUUGGAAAGUUUCGGCGGUUGGGGAUGGACUCGCGGCUUAUCAGCUUGUUGGUGGGGUGGUGGCUUACCAAGGCUUUGACGGGUAGCCGGCCUGAGAGGGUGACCGGCCACAUUGGGACUGAGAUACGGCCCAGACUCCUGCGGGAGGCAGCAGUGGGGAAUAUUGCACAAUGGGCGGAAGCCUGAUGCAGCAACGCCGCGUGCGGGAUGACGGCCUUCGGGUUGUAAACCGCUUUCGCCUGUGACGAAGCGUGAGUGACGGUAAUGGGUAAAGAAGCACCGGCUAACUACGUG
rnacentral:rRNA from 1 species